rnacentral:rRNA from 1 species
UACAGAGGGUGCGAGCGUUAAUCGGAAUUACUGGGCGUAAAGCGCGCGUAGGCGGCUUUGCAAGUCGAGUGUGAAAUCCCCGGGCUCAACCUGGGAACUGCAUUCGAGACUGCAUUGCUAGAGUAUGGGAGAGGGAGGUGGAAUUUCAGGUGUAGCGGUGAAAUGCGUAGAUAUCUGAAGGAACAUCAGUGGCGAAAGCGACCUCCUGGACCAAUACUGACGCUCAUGUGCGAAAGCGUGGGGAG